GCUCAAUCUUCACAUGCAGAUGAUCAGUACUUGCAAGCCUCCACUGGUGUACAGCAUUGGCAUGGUUCUCCAAGGGAGUACUAUGCUGGGCAUGAUGCUGGUGUGGAAGCUAAUGAUGUAGGGCCUUCAAGUUCUUGCUCUAGUCCUGGAGACAGAUCAUACGAUGGAGAAGAGUAUGCUUACACAUUGGAAAUACAAGAUGAAUUUGAGAUUGAUGGAGAAGUAGGGAAGAGAAUAAACCAGCUGAGUGCUAUUCCUCAUGUUCCUAGAAUAAACGGAGACAUACCUUCAGUUGAUGAAGCAACAUCUGACCACCAAAGGCUGCUAGAUAGAUUGCAAUUAUUUGACUUGGUGGAGCACAAAGUGCAAGGGGAUGGAAAUUGUCAGUUCCGUGCUUUAUCAGAUCAAUUCUAUCGUGGUCCUGAGCACCACAAAUUUGUCAGACAGCAAGUAGUCAAUGAGCUUAAAGAACAUCCGGAGAUAUAUGAGGGGUAUGUCCCAAUGGCAUAUGAUGAAUACUUGAAGAGGAUGUCCAAGAAUGGGGAAUGGGGAGAUCAUGUUACGUUGCAGGCUGCCGCUGACUCGUAUGGCGUGAAAAUUCUUGUUAUAACUUCAUUCAAAGACACAUGUUACAUUGAGAUCCUUCCGAAGAAUCAAAAGUCAAAUAGAGUCAUAUACUUGAGUUUCUGGGCGGAGGUGCACUACAACUCAAUCUACCCUCAAGGAGACUUCCUGCCAUGUGAUGAUUUCAAGAAGAAGAAGAAGAAGUGGAGUUUUUGGAACAAGCAUUAAGAGUUCUUGACCUGUUUUAUUCAAGCUGAACUUUACCUACCUGCAAUGGCAUCAUCUCGGUUACGGUACAGAGGUUCCGGGUCACGUACUUACUUUACAUUACAACAACAGCUAUGCCUCAAUCCCGAACAAGUUGGGGGUCAAGUAGCUUUGCAUUAUUUUUUCUAUAUGAUAAAUAGUACUUAACUUUAUAUUCUUAUAAUUGUUCACAUAAUUAUUAUUAACAUAUAGUACUAGUUUGUUCUAAGUUGGCAUAAUAAGAUCAUAUUGUUAUAUUCAUAUUUU
rnacentral:misc_RNA from 1 species